rnacentral:rRNA from 1 species
UUACUGGGCAAAGGUAAGAUUAAUUGUAAAUAAAAGUUAAAAGGAAGUUUUAAUAUUAAUAUAUUUAAAAUUUAAAGGUGAAAUAUGGUGAUUUUAAAAUUAGAUUAAUAGUAGAUGUGACUUGGAGGCUUUAAAGGUUAGGGGUUAAAGCAGGAUUAGAUACCCUGGUAUUCCUUACUUAAAUUUAUUUUUUAGGUAGUAAUCAGUUAUGAUCUCGAAACCUAAAAGAUUUGGCGGUACUUUAGUCUCGUUAGAGGAACCUGUUCUAUAAACGAUAAACCACGAAUAAUCUUACUUAAGCUUGUAUCUCAAUAUGUAUACCUCCAUUAUUAGACAGAUCUAAGAGGAUCUGUUACAAUAGUUUCUCGCUAGUAUAUUAGGUCAAGGUGCAGUUAAUGCUUAAGCUUGAAAUGGGUUACAAUUAUACAAGGUAAUACGGAUAUUUUCUUUGAAAUGAUUUUGAAGGAGGAUUUAAUUGUAAUUAAGAAUUUAAUAAGUCUUAUUGAUAAUGGCUCUAAAGUAUGUACACAUCGCCCGUCGCUCUCAUCAUUAACGU